GACAAACAGCCAAGGUUCAGGAGGCUUGUGGAGGCAUUCUCUGACUCAAUUACAGAGGUGUACCUACUGUUCUUUCAAGCAACUUUUCCAGUCUUCUCCACAUUCAACCUCCUCCUCCAGAGAGAGAAGUCGUCAAUCUUCCUACUACAUGAUGAGGUAAAUUGGAACCGUUGGGAUACAGUUUGCUAGUAUGAUGUUCUAUCUUUGUUCCUUUUUUAUUAGCAGGAAAUAAAUGUAAAUUUGUAAAUCUUUUCUGACAUUUUUAGAUGAGGGGUUUUAUCCGCAAGCUGCUCUCAAAGUUUCUGAAGCCCGCAGCAUUGCAGCACCGGGAACUGCAUGAAAUAUGCUUUAAGGAGCCAUCCAACCAACUGCCAGGUGAUUACUAAUUGUCCAGGUUUUACACAUGCACUAUCCACUCACUGAUCUCACUCAACACACUUUUCGUUAGAGGGCUGCAGUCAUCUCGUCACAAUCACUGAUAUGAUGAAGAUACUUAAAGGGGUGCUUUCAAGUUGGCUAUUGUGGUUUUUGAUGGUGACUAAAGUGACUCAACACAGUCUUGUUCCCGUCUCAUACUGACAUGUUACUGCAUACAGCAUCGUUAAUGACCUCUGCAGUUGUUGAUUUGUGUCUCUUGUAGGAGAAAAGUUGGUGAUUGGCUUCACUACUCGAGUUACACUCAACAGGCUCCUUGAAGCAGGAGCCAUUACACCGCAGCAAGUGCAGAGGUUCCAGAAGGCAGCAGUGGCGUUUCUGGAAAGGGCUGUGGAGUAUGCCAUCAAGAAACUCCCCAUGAAAGAGCCUCUGAUUAAACAUGCCAUGUUUCUGGAUGUCCAGCAGAGAGCAGAGUGUGGAGUGGAAGAUGCCUUCUACUUUGUCAAGUUGGGCUAUCAAAUUUCCUGAACUUCUCCCAUACAAUGGACCUGAAGAGCAUGACAAACUUUGUGAGGAGUUUCUGGACUACCAGACCAUGGACAUUGCCAUGCCCGACGACCCAGCAAUGUUUGACUUUGAGAGAUUUUGGGGGAACAUGGCAUCAAUGAAGAACAAGGUAAGAAUUAUUCUGUACUCAUGGGAAUACCCAUUGACAUAAUCAACUUAAUAGUACACAAAAAUACUUGUGAGUAAUUAGGCUUCCUAUGUGCAUUUUUCAAAGGUGACCGGUAUGAGCAGAUUUGGCAGGCUGUCUUAGAUAUUAGAAGAGCCGAAUUAAAUCCUCCCUUCGUCGUAGAGCUCGAGCAUGUGGCGCCUGUGGCCAGGGAUCUCUGGGCAUCGGGUCAUCUGGCUGCAGGUCGGCAAAUGGCACCCCAUUUGCCAGCGCAAUAUUAUGCAGAACCCCACAUGCUAAAAUAAUAUUGCAUGUCUUUUCUGGGCUGUAGAGCAACGUUCCCCCCGCUGACCCGAUGGACAUCCACCUGCCCUUGAGUAGGCCUAUACAUCGCUCCACCGUUGCCCGUGUGCGCGCUGUUGAAGUUGCGCUCCUGAUCCGUGUUCGGAUGAGCCAGAGGAGUUAUUAGGUACUCGUUCAGGGCAUAGCCUUUGUCACCUAGAUGAAUCACAUCAAACAUUUAGUGCGAUGUCUUAAACGUUUUAAGAGAAAAAAAAGUGCGACUGCAGCGUAACUCACCGAGGUGAUGACUCUGACCAUGAAGUGCGCCCUGAUGCAGACGACGUUGCUAUUUUGGAAAAUAAAAUAGUCGUACGUGCCCCCAGGCCAUCGGGCUACCAUGUUCAGGAUUGACAUUCUUGCAUCGCAA
ensembl:lncRNA